GCUACGUUGGCCGAGCGGUUUAGGUACCAGAUUAAGGGUCUGGGUCGAAAGACAAGACAGGUUCGACUCCUGUACGUAGCA
rnacentral:tRNA from 1 species